GUCCACCAUGAGGUCAGUGAGGGCACCUUUAUUCUUCCCAACAAACAGGAAGUACACAUCUGCCAUGACAAGGAGGGGGAGGCUUGGCUGUAGCAGGGGUUGAGGUUUACAUAUGCCUGGCUGCCCACAGUGAUGAUGAUAUCAGAUUACUACCACCCACCUGGAUGCAGCAAUUUGAAGGAGUCCAUCAGUUGCAAGAAUUCCUCUUGCUGCGGCACACUGCUCGGGGCAUUCCACAGCACCACCUGCAGACCAGACAACUCUGAGUGUGUGGACACCUCUCAACAAUCCCUAUCUUUAUACCACACAGAAAAUUGCAAACUUUAGAUCUAAAGAAGAAGGCUAAAGGUUGAAAAAAGAGGAAUAUGGAUGGUAUAACAAGGAGAGGCAGGAAACAUGCAUGAUGUACUGGGGAACAGAUGAAGGUUAAAGGCAGUCUGAUGAGAAUUAACACUAAGAAAUGGACUACAGGUCUUAUGAAAGAUGCUGGAGCAAUUGCUGGAGAAAACUCAGAACUUUUCAAAAUGUCCUGAAAAAGCAAAAAUUCUGUCUGGUAAAAUGUAGCCAUAAUCAUAAAAAAGUCAUAAUACACGAGAAAGCAGACUUAACAGAUCUCAAAAAUUAGUCCUCAUCAGCUUCCUGUCAGUUAUCUAUAAAUGGCUCACAAAAAUAAUCGCAAAUAUCAGAAUAUCCAGAUUCAGAUUCUAAUCAGCCUGGGGAACAAGCUGGUUUUCA